UACGGAGGGGCGAGCGUUAUUCGGAAUUAUUGGGCGUAAAGGGCGCGUAGGCGGCCUGAUAAGUCAAAGGUGAAAUCCCUCGGCUCAACUGAGGAAUUGCCUUUGAAACUGUCAGGCUUGAGGCCGGGAGGGGUGGCGGAAUUCCCAGUGUAGCGGUGAAAUGCGUAGAUAUUGGGAGGAACACCAGUGGCGAAGGCGGCCACCUGGACCGGUUCUGACGCUGAUGCGCGAAAGCGUGGGAGCAAACAGGAUAGAU
rnacentral:rRNA from 1 species